ensembl:lncRNA
GAGAGAGCAAACUGCCAGGGUCGGACUGGGGUUGGGAUACCGCACCCGCAGGUGCUGGUCUCAGAUCCAGUUGUGGGAGAAACUGCACCAUAUCUAGGAUGCUGAUUCAAAGCAUACACUCCCUUGUGAAGAAACUUGCCCCAGAUUUCCAUGCUGUUUCCAUCUAAUUGGAGUACAAAGAAGCUGUGUUCCAGAGAUGUUCAAGGAUCUGGCAAUGGAAGUGAACAAGGAUGGAAAGACUCAGAAAUCUGACGAUUGCUUUGGCUUUGACACCAGACAUGGAGAUGCAGAUUUUGGAGUUUGCUCAGG